rnacentral:rRNA from 1 species
CAGUCGCCGCGGUAAUACGAAGGGUGCAAGCGUUAAUCGGAAUUACUGGGCGUAAAGCGUGCGCAGGCGGUUCGUUAAGACAGAUGUGAAAUCCCCGGGCUUAACCUGGGAACUGCAUUUGUGACUGGCGAGCUAGAGUAUGGCAGAGGGGGGUAGAAUUCCACGUGUAGCAGUGAAAUGCGUAGAGAUGUGGAGGAAUACCGAUGGCGAAGGCAGCCCCCUGGGCCUGUACUGACGCUCAUGCACGAAAGCGUGGGGAGCAAACAGGAUUAGAUACCCGCGUAGUCCCUGUCUCUUAUAC